UUCCAGACUCCUACGGGAGGCAGCAGUGGGGAAUAUUGCACAAUGGGGGAAACCCUGAUGCAGCGACGCCGCGUGAGUGAAGAAGUAUUUCGGUAUGUAAAGCUCUAUCAGCAGGGAAGAUAAUGACGGUACCUGACUAAGAAGCCCCGGCUAACUACGUGCCAGCAGCCGCGGUAAUACGUAGGGGGCAAGCGUUAUCCGGAUUUACUGGGUGUAAAGGGUGCGUAGGUGGCAUGGCAAGUCAGAAGUGAAAGCCCGGGGCUCAACCCCGCGGACUGCUUUUGAAACUGUCAGGCUGGAGUACAGGAGAGGUAAGCGGAAUUCCUAGUGUAGCGGUGAAAUGCGUAGAUAUUAGGAGGAACACCAGUGACGAAGGCGGCUUACUGGACUGUAACUGACACUGAGGCACGAAAGCGUGGGGAGCAAACAGGAUUAGAUACCCUAGUA
rnacentral:rRNA from 1 species